rnacentral:lncRNA from 1 species
UCCACGAGGAAGAGGAAGACGAAGAGGAGGAUGUAGUGCCUAUAUUCUUGUGGGAGGAACGCAGGGUAACAAUAAGUGUAACAAACAUCAUCUGCGCAAACUGCAGGGCAUGGGAUACACGGAUUUACCAGGCUUAUCGCGACUAGCAUCAUUAGAUGUAUUCUUGCUGCGAAGUGGGUCCAGCUAUUUCCUCCUAGAGUAGACAGGUUUCAUUCCAACAGAGCGUACAGAAAAAUCAUCAAUUCGAGUUUAUUACCAGCGCAAGUGAAGACCAGCUGUGCCCACCGAUCAUUACGUACAAGGAAUGAUCAUAUGCAGCGUGCAAUAGACCGCGAAAGAGAUUUCCAAUGCUGAGACGAGUACUUGUCCACGAGGGAUCAACCUUACCACCUUUAUAAUCUGAAUAACACGUAUACAUGAAAUCGCUUGGUGUUACUUGAAGUUUGGAAUUUCAAUAGUUCUCAAGAUUUUUCUUAAAUCUUCGAUAUCGUUGAAACAAUGUUCGAUUUUAUUUGCUUCAUGCUAGAAAGAGGGAAAAAAGGCAAAAAAAGAACAGAGCAGAAAGACAGAUCCAUUAAAGCUCUGAAAAUUCUCAUUCGAUACCACAAUCUUCCGUACCUUAUGAAUUCUUAUCGUUUGCAGUCUCUGGCUCUGACAAAAAUCACAUCACUACAUUAUAAACUUAGAAAACCGAUUAACCUUACAGCUUUUUGAUAGGCAUUCGAAGCGUCGUUAUCGACGAAAUACGGUCUGCUACUGGUACGCGGCCCUCUCACUUCAUUACAGUAGAUGCGCAUGUUCUUCUACAACUAUCACAAUACACGAUUUACUUAGUUCACACUACGUUUUGUUCCACUUAAUAAAGUUGGUGGAAAGUUUA